AUCCCUAGCCAUGGACAAAGAGACAUCUCAUUGCUGGUGUUGCUCUUAUAUCUGCCAGGGGCAAAGCAGUCGGUCCUUUGUUCAUCCUAGCUCGCUGCCUGGGUUGGGGGCCAGAGCUAUUUCAUGCUUGUGACACAUAA
rnacentral:snoRNA from 1 species